UCUUCAUUUUUUCUUCUUCUUUCAAU
rnacentral:sRNA from 1 species